rnacentral:lncRNA from 1 species
UUUUUUUUUUUUUAAAGAUUUAUUUAUUUAUUUAUUAUAUGUAAGUACACUGUAGCUGUCCUUAGAUACUCCAUAAGAGGGCAUCAGAUUUUGUUAUGGAUGGUUGUGAGCCACCAUGUGGUUGCUGGGAUUUGAACUCGGGACCUUUGGAAGAGCAGUCGGCACUCUUAACCACUGAGCCAUCUCGCCAGCCCCUUUGUAUGACUUUUAACUUCAUUGUUAAAAGCUGAUGUUUCAGUGUCGCUCUGUUCCUUUUGGGUUAUUUGACUUUAAGCCUUUAAGAAAGCAUGCAUAGUCAUGAACAUGAGUCACCUCUCUCUCCUGUGUAUGUUUAGUGUAUGCCCAUGGCAUAGGUGUGUGUGCCCAUGCAGGAUACAUGGAGAAGAGAGCUCUGUGCCAGUUGUCUAUCACAGUUUGCCGUACUGAAAUGAGAUGAGAUCUCUCACUGAACUAGAAGCUCAUUGUUCUGGUAGGCUGGCCAGCCAGAACACCCAGGACCCCUCUGUCCCCAUCCCCACAGUGCUACAGUACGCUAAGCCAUGUCUGGCUUUUUAUGUAGAUGCUGGAGAUUCAAUGUUAAGCCCUCAUUCUUGGUGAGCAAGAGCUUAGCCACUGAACUUUCUACCCAUUCCUGAGUGCCUUAUUAUUAUUAUUAUUUUUUAGUGAUCAAUUAAUGUAUAGUAAUUUUUGAGAUAGUGUCUUAUGUGUCUUUGGCUAGUCAAAAAUUUGCUGCAGAGCUAACGAUGGAUGACCUUGAACUUAUGAUCAAGUUCUAUAAGUUUUACAGGUUCUAGGAUCGUACCUCGUGUAUUACCACGCAUACAGUUAUAUAUUAAAAUUGUAUUUAAAUUGUCUCAAGAACUUGUCCUCCUGCUUCCCCUUUUAAUGAUGGAGAAACGAAGAAGCCAAGUGAUUUAAGUUUGGGAUCACGGAGUUUAAGCAAGAGCUGAGACAUUUUGGAUACUUUUUCAGAGACUUGAGUUGGCUUCAUAUAUAGGAUUUGUUGGUUUUAGAUUAGACAUAGGGGCAGUGGGGUAGAAAAGCAGAGAAUAUGCCUGGCAAACAGACGGUAUAUGAGGGAAAAUACAAAUUGAGAGAUGUUAGGGCAUGUAUUGACAUUACAUAGUUAUGUCCUACCUUCUUGAAUGAGUACUGGAAUUUGUAUCUUAUGGACAGGGAAACUCACUUGUCUUGCCCAUGCACAUUUGUGAGUUACACAGUUGUAAUUCAGAAUAGGCCUAUGGCAGCAUCUUUAAUACCUGGCUAGUAAGGAAGUAUUUGAUGUGCUUCCUGGGAGGCUGUGCAUUGGUGUGAUCUAAGCAGUGUACUAGCAUGUGCAGGAGGGAAGAUUAGUUUGUCAGUGGUGUUAAAGAUCAGUCGGCUUCUUACUCAGUUUCUGCAUCAUUAAAAAGGAAAGGAAAGAUGCAACCUGGCCUAGUCUGUCUUUCUGUUGGAUGCUUUUAAUUCCUUAUUCCUCAAUGGCUCCGUAUGCAUAUUGUAUUUUUCAGAGAAUGACUAGUAGUAGCAGCUCCCCAAGCCUUCUAAAUGACAGUGCCAAGCCAUACACAGGCCACGGUAAGAUUUGAUUGUGUACAUUAGUAUGUGUGUGUAGCUCUGAAAGUAAUAUGAUAUAGUAGAUUAUUUUAGAAAUUGUGAGCAGGUAUUAAUUAGAAAAUAAAAUUUAAUCAAGAUUUUAAAUCACCAAUUUUUCUUUUCAUGUUAAUAAAUACAAUAAUUAAGAUUACAUUAAACACUUUAAUCGUGGUCCUUCUUGAUUAAUAUGAAUUAAAUCUUAUAUUGCUAUUUUUUUUGUUUUUUUUUGUUUUUUUUUCCGAGACAGAGUUUCUCUGUGUAGCCCUGGAUGUCCUGGAACUCACUUUGUAGACCAGGCUGACCUCAAACCCAGAAAUCCGCCUGCCUCUGCCUCUCGAGUGCUGGGAUUAAAAGCAUGUGUCACCAUCGCCUGGCCUGUAUUUAUUUUUAAAAAGUGUUCCCUGGUUUAAAAGUGUGUGUGUGUGUGUGUAGAGAGCACAUAUACAUAUAUGCUAGUAACAUAGAUCAACAAAAUGUUAAAACUUAAUAAUAAUGAAUAAAAUUUGCAUGUUGAUUAUUUUUUGUGAUAGGUAUUUUUUUGUAUAUAAAGUUUGUAUACUAUUUAGGAAUUUCAGUCUUCUACUGAAGAAAAAAGGAACAUUUUAAUGUUAGAUUUAAUGUUAGAAACUACUUUGUACUCAGGCAGUGGUGGUUCAUGCCCUUAAUCCCAGAGCGGGAGGUAGAGUCAGGUGAACCUCUGAGUUCAUGGCCAACCUGGUCCAUGGAGCGCUCCAUUGGGGCAGCCAGGCCUACACAGAGAAACCCUGUCUUGG